AACGCACGAGACCUGCGGACCUGCGGAAGGAUCAUUACCGAGUGAGGGCCCUCUGGGUCCAACCUCCCACCCGUGUUUAUCGUACCUUGUUGCUUCGGCGGGCCCGCCUCACGGCCGCCGGGGGGCACCUGCCCCCGGGCCCGCGCCCGCCGAAGACAUCAUUGAACUCUGUCUGAAGAUUGCAGUCUGAGUAGAUUAGCUGAAUCAGUUAAAACUUUCAACAACGGAUCUCUAGAUCGG
rnacentral:misc_RNA from 1 species